AUACGGAGGGUGCAAGCGUUGUCCGGAUUUAUUGGGUUUAAAGGGUGUGUAGGCGGUGUAUUAAGUCAGUGGUGAAAGCCUGCGGCUCAACCGUAGAACUGCCAUUGAUACUGACACACUAGAGUAUGGACGAGGUAGGCGGAAUUUAUGGUGUAGCGGUGAAAUGCAUAGAUACCAUAAAGAACACCGAUAGCGAAGGCAGCUUACUAGGCCAUAACUGACGCUGAGGCACGAAAGCGUGGGGAGCGAACAGGAUUAGAUACCCCGGUAGUCC
rnacentral:rRNA from 1 species